CACGUAGGGGCCAAGCGUUGUCCGGAUUUAUUGGGCGUAAAGAGCUCGUAGGCGGUUGGGUAAGUCGGGUGUGAAAACUCCAGGCUCAACUUGGAGACGCCACCCGAUACUGCUCUGACUUGAGUUCGGUAGGGGAGUGGGGAAUUCCUGGUGUAGCGGUGAAAUGCGCAGAUAUCAGGAGGAACGCCGGUGGCGAAGGCGCCACUCUGGGCCGAAACUGACGCUGAGGCGCGAAGGCGUGGGGAGCGAACGGG
rnacentral:rRNA from 1 species